rnacentral:rRNA from 1 species
CCAAUAGCGUAUAUUAAAGUUGUUGCAGUUAAAAAGCUCGUAGUUGAAUUUCGGGGUCUGUCCGUCGGUCGGGCUUUACGGUCCGUACUGGUGUGAUGGGUUCCUACCUUCUGAAUAACCGGCAUGCCAUUCAUUUGGUGCGCCGGGGAAGCAGAGCUAUUACCUUGAAAAAAUUAGAGUGCUUAAAGCAGGCUAGUGCUUGAAUAGAUUAGCAUGGAAUAAUAAAAUAGGACGGCAUGGUUCUAUUUUGUUGGUUUCUAGGAUCACCGUAAUGAUUAAUAGGGAUAGUUGGGGGCAGUAGUAUUCAAUUGUCAGAGGUGAAAUUCUUGGAGUUAUUGAAGACUAACUUCUGCGAAAGCAUUUGCCAAGGAUGUUUUCAUUAAUCAAGAACGAAAGUUAGGGGAUCGAAGACGAUCAGAUACCGUCGUAGUCUUAACCAUAAACUAUGCCGACUAGGGAUCGGACGAUGUUAAUUUUUUAAUGACUCGUUCGGCGCCUUACGGGAAACCAAAGUGUUUGGGUC